rnacentral:rRNA from 1 species
GAGUUUGAUCUUGGCUCAGAUUGAACGCUGGCGGCAUGCCUUACACAUGCAAGUCGAACGGCAGCACGGGAGCUUGCUCCUGGUGGGCGAGUGGCGAACGGGUGAGUAAUGCAUCGGAACGUAUCCUGGAGUGGGGGAUAACGUAGCGAAAGUUACGCUAAUACCGCAUAUUCUGUGAGCAGGAAAGCGGGGGACCUUCGGGCCUCGCGCUCUUGGAGCGGCCGAUGUCGGAUUAGCUAGUUGGUGAGGUAAAGGCUCACCAAGGCGACGAUCCGUAGCAGGUCUGAGAGGAUGAUCUGCCACACUGGAACUGAGACACGGUCCAGACUCCUACGGGAGGCAGCAGUGGGAAUUUUGGACAAUGGGGGCAACCC